GUCCGUUGUGGUGGUUGGUUUCCUGAACAUGUGACUUUAAUCCUUGCUGUCAAAGCCUCAAACCUCAGCUGCUCAAGGCACAGAAUACAAUAGAAAUAAACACGCGUGAAUGCUAAUUUGAAAAGCGCAGAUCACCUUACUGAUUUAUUUUUAUGGCAUAGUACUAUGAACGGAUCUAUGCCAACAGGAGCGAGAAACCAUUUAUUACAGAGUCCACAGAAGGGACUUCACGAGUAGCAGCAGCACAAAUACAGAGAUGGGCUCUGUUUCUUGGAGGACACAAUUACAAGAUUGAAUUCAAGAGGACGACUAAUCAUGCAAAUACUAAUGUAUUGUCCCAUUUAACCUUGGGAAAGGAAAUAACUGAAAGAGUUAGAAAAGCAGACACUCCUCUUGGUGUAUUCUUCAUAAUGCAAAUUGAAAGUCUCCUUAUUUCAGGCAGAAGAUACAAAAGCCUGAAAGCAGAAACCAGCAAAUUCAAGGAGAGCUUCCAACCGCUGUUAUGAGAUGGACUCUUGACCUCACUACCUACCUUGUUUUGCAUUUUAGUGUUGACAUGCACUGCACCUUCUCUGUGACAGUGGCACUUUAGUCUUCAUUCUGUAUUGUUUGCUCUUGUUGUACCUCAAUGCAUUGUUGUAAUUAAAUGACCUGUAUGGAUGGCAUGCAAAAUAAACUUUUCACUGCAUCUCUGUACAAGUGACAGUAAUAAACUAACUU